GACGAACGCUGGCGGCGUGCUUAACACAUGCAAGUCGAACGGAAAGGCCCUGCUUUUGUGGGGUGCUCGAGUGGCGAACGGGUGAGUAACACGUGAGUAACCUGCCCUUGACUUUGGGAUAACUUCAGGAAACUGGGGCUAAUACCGGAUAGGAGCUCCUGCUGCAUGGUGGGGGUUGGAAAGUUUCGGCGGUUGGGGAUGGACUCGCGGCUUAUCAGCUUGUUGGUGGGGUAGUGGCUUACCAAGGCUUUGACGGGUAGCCGGCCUGAGAGGGUGACCGGCAACAUUGGGACUGAGAUACGGCCCAGACUACUACGGGAGGCAGCAGUGGGGAAUAUUGCACAAGGGGCGGAAGCCUGAUGCAGCAACGCCGCGUGCGGGAUGACGGCCUUCGGGUGGUAAACCGCUUUCGCCUGUGACGAAGCGUGAGUGACGGUAAUGGGUAAAGAAGCACCGGCUAACUACGU
rnacentral:rRNA from 1 species